rnacentral:rRNA from 1 species
ACGAAGGUGUCAAACGUUGUCCGGAAUUACUGGGCGUAAAGGGCGCGUAGGCGGCAAGUUAAGUCAGAUGUGAAAGUCCAGGGCUCAACCCUGAAAUUGCAUCUGAUACUGGCUAGCUUGAGUUCGGUAGAGGAGGGCGGAAUUCCUGGUGUAGCGGUGAAAUGCGUAGAUAUCAGGAGGAACACCUGUGGCGAAGGCGGCUCUCUGGUCCGAUACUGACGCUGAGGCGCGAAAGUUAGGGUAGCAAACAGGA